AUUGAGCGCUGGCGGCAGGCCUAACACAUGCAAGUCGAACGGUAGCACAGAGAGCUUGCUCUCGGGUGAUGAGUGGCGGACGGGUGAGUAAUGUCUGGGAAACUGCCCGAUGGAGGGGGAUAACUACUGGAAACGGUAGCUAAUACCGCAUAACGUCGCAAGACCAAAGUGGGGGACCUUCGGGCCUCACACCAUCGGAUGUGCCCAGAUGGGAUUAGCUAGUAGGUGGGGUAAUGGCUCACCUAGGCGACGAUCCCUAGCCGGUCUGAGAGGAUGACCAGCCACACUGGAACUGAGACACGGUCCAGACUCCUACGGGAGGCAGCAGUGGGGAAUAUUGCACAAUGGGCGCAAGCCUGAUGCAGCCAUGCCGCGUGUAUGAAGAAGGCCUUCGGGUUGUAAAGUACUUUCAGCGGGGAGGAAGGCGGUGGAGUUAAUAACUUCACCGAUUGACGUUACCCGCAGAAGAAGCACCGGCUAACUCCGUGCCAGCAGCCGCAGUAA
rnacentral:rRNA from 1 species